CCUACGGGGGGCUGCAGUGGGGAAUAUUGCACAAUGGGCGCAAGCCUGAUGCGGCCAUGCCGCGUGUGUGAAGAAGGCCUUCGGGUUGUAAAGCACUUUCAGCGGGGAGGAAGGCGUUAAGGUUAAUAACCUUGGCGAUUGACGUUACCCGCAGAAGAAGCACCGGCUAACUCCGUGCCAGCAGCCGCGGUAAUACGGAGGGUGCAAGCGUUAAUCGGAAUUACUGGGCGUAAAGCGCACGCAGGCGGUCUGUCAAGUCGGAUGUGAAAUCCCCGGGCUCAACCUGGGAACUGCAUUCGAAACUGGCAGGCUAGAGUCUUGUAGAGGGGGGUAGAAUUCCAGGUGUAGCGGUGAAAUGCGUAGAGAUCUGGAGGAAUACCGGUGGCGAAGGCGGCCCCCUGGACAAAGACGGACGCUCAGGUGCGAAAGCGUGGGGAGCAAACAGGAUUAGAUACCCGUGUAGUC
rnacentral:rRNA from 1 species